UUCGGAUUGCAGGCUGCAACUCGCCUGCAUGAAGCUGGAAUUGCUAGUAAUCGCGGAUCAGCAAGCCGCGGUGAAUACGUUCCCGGGCCCUUGUACACACCGCCCGUCACACCAUGAGAGUCGGGAACACCCGAAGUCCGUAGUCUAACCGCAAGGGGGGCGCGGCCGAAGGUGGGUCCGGUAAUUGGGGUGAAGUCGUAACAAGGUACC
rnacentral:rRNA from 1 species